GCCAAACAGCUAGCUUAACCACCUAUAUAACUCAACAAUAUUUAUAACAGAACACGACCGAAUAUUAUAAACUAAACCAUUUUUUUACCUGAGUACGGGAGACGGAAAAGGUCCACCACAAAGCAAUAGAAGAAGUACCGCAAGGGAAAGCUGAAAGAGAAGUGAAACAACCCAUAUAAGCACUGAAAAACAAAGACUAAACCUUGUACCUUUUGCAUCAUGAUUUAGCCAGCACCCUCAAGCGAAGAGCCCUUUAGUUUGAAGCCCCGAAACCAGGUGAGCUACCCCGAGACAGCCUAUAUUAUUUAGGGCUAACCCGUCUCUGUGGCAAAAGAGUGGGAAGAGCUCCGGGUAGAAGUGACAGACCUACCGAACCUGGUGAUAGCUGGUUAUCUGAGAAAUGGAUAGAAGUUCAGCCUCAUUCACCCCAAAUCAGCGGACACAUCACUAAGAUAUUAAGGGAAACAUAUGAGAGUUAGUUAAAAGGGGUACAGCCCUUUCAACAAAGGAUACAACCUUCACAGGAGGAUAAAGAUCAUAAUAUAUAAAAUAUACUGUUUUAGUGGGCCCGAAAGCAGCCACCUAUGUAGAAAGCGUUAAAGCUCGGACAGAAAGGAAUUUAUUAUACCGAUAAAAAAUCUUAUUCCCCUAACUAUAUCAGAUUAACCCAUGCCUACAUGGAAGAAAUUAUGCUAAAAUGAGUAACAAGAAGACCUGCUCUUCUCCUGGCACAAGUGUAGACCAGAUCGGACAGACCACUGGAACAUAACGAACCCAACCUAAGAGGGUAAUGUGAACAAUAGAGACUUCAAGAAGAACUCACAGCUAUAUAUCGUUAACCCCACACUGGUGUGCCAUCUUCAAGGAAAGACUAAAAGAAAGGGAAGGAACUCGGCAAACACAAGCCUCGCCUGUUUACCAAAAACAUCGCCUCCUGCAACUAACUUGAGUAUAGGAGGUCCAGCCUGCCCAGUGACUACGGGUUCAACGGCCGCGGUAUUUUGACCGUGCAAAGGUAGCGCAAUCACUUGUCUCUUAAAUAGAGACCUGUAUGAAUGGCUAGACGAGGGCUUAACUGUCUCCCCCCUCCAGUCAGUGAAAUUGAUCUAUCCGUGCAGAAGCGGGUAUAAUCAUACAAGACGAGAAGACCCUUUGGAGCUUAAGGUACAAAUUUGACCACGUUAAACAACUCUGUAAAAAGUAAGAACUUAGUGGAUAAUAGCAUUUUACCUUCGGUUGGGGCGACCACGGAGGAAAGACGAGCCUCCGAGUGGACCGGGCCAAAUCCCUAAAGCUAUUAGUGACACCUAUAAGCCGCAGAAUUUCUGACCAAAAAUGAUCCGACAAAAGUCGAUCAGCGAACCAAGUUACCCUAGGGAUAACAGCGCAAUCCCCUCCCAGAGGCCAUAUCGACGAGGGGGUUUACGACCUCGAUGUUGGAUCAGGACAUCCUAAUGGUGCAGCCGCUAUUAAGGGUUCGUUUGUUCAACGAUUAAAGUCCUACGUGAUCUGAGUUCAGACCGGAGUAAUCCAGGUCAGUUUCUAUCUGUAACGCUACUUUUCCUAGUACGAAAGGAUUGGAAAAGCGGGGCCCAUGCUUAAAGCACGCCCCGCCCCUAAUUAAUGAAAACAAAUAAAUUGAGUAAAGGGAGGGCCAAAGCCCCCACCGCCCAAGAGAAGGGCAU
rnacentral:rRNA from 1 species